rnacentral:rRNA from 1 species
UAGUACCUGAAACCGUUGGUCUACAAACAGUCAAAGCAGCUUUAGGGCUGCGAUGGCGUGCCUUUUGAAGAAUGAGCCAACGAGUUACGGUGUGUGGCAAGGUUAACCCGAUGAGGGGAAGCCGGAGCGAAAGCGAGUCUGAAUAGGGCGUUCAGUCGCAUGCCGUAGACCCGAAGCCGAGUGAGCUAUCCAUGGGCAGUGUGAAGCGGAGGUAAGACUCUGUGGAGGCGCGAACCGACUUCAGUUGAAAAUGGAGCGGAUGACCUGUGGAUAGGGGUGAAAGGCCAAUCAAACUCGGUGAUAGCUGGUUCUCCGCGAAAUGCAUUUAGGUGCAGCGUCGUGCGUUCAACGAUGGGGGUAGAGCACUGAAUGGGCUAGGGGGUCCUACAAGACUACCGACCCCAAUCAAACUCCGAAUACCAUCGCUCCAGAGCACGGCAGUGAGACCUCGGGGGAUGAGCUUCGAGGUCGAGAGGGAAACAGCCCAGACCGCCAGCUAAGGUCCCAAAAUCUGAACUAAGUGGUAAACGAUGUGAGAUUGCGAAAACAGCCAGGAGGUUGGCUUGGAAGCAGCCAUCCUUUAAAGAGUGCGUAACAGCUCACUGGUCGAGUGAUCUUGCGCGGACAAUGUAACGGGGCUCAAGUUCAGUACCGAAGCUGCGGAUGCGACUCUUUGAGUCGCGUGGUAGCGGAGCGUCGAGCGCGCAGCGAAGCGGCGGGAUAACCCAGCCGUGGAGUGCGUUCGAGUGAGAAUGUUGGCAUGAGUAGCGAAAGAGGGGUGAGAACCCCCUCCGCCGUAUGUCCAAGGGUUCCUGGGCGAGGCCAAUCCUCCCAGGGUGAGUCGGGAGCUAAGGCGAGGCCGAAAGGCGUAGUCGAUGCACAACUGGUUGAUAUUCCAGUACCACCAUGUUCGCGACCGUUCCAAUACUUUGUUGCUAAGGGGCUGUGUUGACUUCGGUCAACACGAACCGACCCACAUUGUUGCGGAAAGCUAUAGGGGGACGCAGGAAGGUAGAUGAACCCGGUGAAUGGUAGAACCGGGGUAAGCGUGUAGGAGGAGGACCAGGCAAAUCCGGGCCUCAUAUACUCUGAGACGUGAUACCGAGCCGCUUCAGGCGAAGUCAUUAAUCCUAUGCUGCCUAGAAAAGCCCAGUAGCGAGUUGACAUGGUGCCCGUACCCCAAACCAACACAGGUGGACAGGUAGAGCAUACCAAGGCGAGUGGGAUAACUAUGGUUAAGGAACUCGGCAAAUUUCCUCCGUAACUUCGGGAUAAGGAGGACCCCAGUAGCGUGACGAGACUUGCUCUCCGAGCGUGAAGGGGUGGCACAAAAUUGAGGGAAGCGACUGUUUACCAAAAACACAGCAGCGUGCUAAGCCGUAAGGCGCUGUAUACGCUGUGACUCCUGCCCGGUGCUGGAAGGUUACGGGGAUGGGUUAGUCCUUUGGGACGAAGCUCUGAACCUAAGCCCCAGUAAACGGCGGCCGUAACUAUAACGGUCCUAAGGUAGCGAAAUUCCUUGUCGGGUAAGUUCCGACCUGCACGAAUGGAGUAACGACUUCCCUACUGUCUCAACCAUAGACCCAGCGA